rnacentral:rRNA from 1 species
AGAGUUUGAUCCUGGCUCAGGAUUAACGCUGGCGGUGUGCCUUAUACAUGCAAGUCGAGCGUGCCCGCAAGGGUAUCGCGGCAAACGGGUGAGUAACAAAUAGGGAAUCUGCCCUCAAGUUCGGGAUAACCAGUCGAAAGAUUGAACAAUACCGGAUAAUGUUGCGAAGGACAACCUUCGUAAAGAAAGGCGGCGCAAGCUGUCGCUUUUGGAUGAACCUAUUCACUAUCAGCUAGUUGGUGAGGUAACGGCUGCACCAAGGCUAUGACGGUUAGCUGGUCUGAGAGGACGGUCAGCCACAUUGGGACUGAGACACGGCCCAGACUCCUACGGGAGGCAGCAGUCGGGAAUUUUGUCAAUGGGCGAAAGCCUGAACGAGCGACACCGCGUGAACGACGAAGAUCUUAGGAUUGUAAAGUUCUUUGCUUGAGAAGAACACGGUUGCGACAACAUCAAUACCGUCUGACGGUACCAAGCGAAUAAGCUCCAGCCAACUACGUG